rnacentral:misc_RNA from 1 species
GUGAAUUGCCUCAGGGCCUUAUCGAUUAUUAUCCAACACCUCUGUGAACCGUUUCGCCCUCGGGCUGAUCUUUUACAAUACAUUGUGUAAUGAACGUCAUUAUUAUCAUUAACAAAAC